rnacentral:rRNA from 1 species
AGAGUUUGAUCAUGGCUCAGAACGAACGCUGGCGGCGUGCCUAACACAUGCAAGUCGAGCGCGAAUGGAGCAAUCCUAGUAGAGCGGCGCACGGGUGCGUAACACGUGGGUAAUCUGCCUGGAAGACCGGGAUAACUAUCCGAAAGGAUAGCUAAUACUGGAUAAGCCUACGGGGUCCUUGGACCCUGAAGGAAAAGGUG